rnacentral:rRNA from 1 species
UCUGACGGAGCACGCCGCGUGAGCGAUGAAGGCCUUCGGGUCGUAAAGCUCUGUUGUUAGGGAAGAACAAGUGCUAGUUGAAUAAGCUGGCACCUUGACGGUACCUAACCAGAAAGCCACGGCUAACUACGUGCCAGCAGCCGCGGUAAUACGUAGGUGGCAAGCGUUAUCCGGAAUUAUUGGGCGUAAAGCGCGCGCAGGUGGUUUCUUAAGUCUGAUGUGAAAGCCCACGGCUCAACCGUGGAGGGUCAUUGGAAACUGGGAGACUUGAGUGCAGAAGAGGAAAGUGGAAUUCCAUGUGUAGCGGUGAAAUGCGUAGAGAUAUGGAGGAACACCAGUGGCGAAGGCGACUUUCUGGUCUGCAACUGACACUGAGGCGCGAAAGCGUGGGGAGCAAACAGGAUUAGAUACCCUGGUAGUCCACGCCGUAAACGAUGAGUGCUAAGUGUUAGAGGGUUUCCGCCCUUUAGUGCUGAAGUUAACGCAUUAAGCAUCCGCCUGGG